rnacentral:piRNA from 1 species
UAAAGGGAUAGUUGUGGCAGCCUGGCAGU